GAAAAAUUGUGGGUUUGGGAGACUAGUGGGCUUCCAAAUGCUCCUGAUUUCUAGAAAGUAUUUUGGAACAAAUGGCCAGUGUAUGAAGAUAUAUUGCAAACAUCAUUUUGUAGGAUAAAUCUACUCUAAGAAGAUCAAAAGUUCCCUCAAUUGAGGAGGAAAUAGAAGUCUGCCUUGAUCAAUAUACAGAUAGUAAAUAAAAGAGCA
rnacentral:lncRNA from 1 species